UGGGGAAUUUUGGACAAUGGGCGAAAGCCUGAUCCAGCAAUGCCGCGUGUGUGAAGAAGGCCUUCGGGUUGUAAAGCACUUUUGUCCGGAAAGAAAUCCUUGGCUCUAAUACAGCUCGGGGGAUGACGGUACCGGAAGAAUAAGCACCGGCUAACUACGUGCCAGCAGCCGCGGUAAUACGUAGGGUGCAAGCGUUAAUCGGAAUUACUGGGCGUAAAGCGUGCGCAGGCGGUUUGCUAAGACCGAUGUGAAAUCCCCGGGCUCAGCCUGGGAACUGCAUUGGUGACUGGCAGGCUAGAGUAUGGCAGAGGGGGGUAGAAUUCCACGUGUAGCAGUGAAAUGCGUAGAGAUGUGGAGGAAUACCGAUGGCGAAGGCAGCCCCCUGGGCCAAUACUGACGCUCAUGCACGAAAGCGUGGGGAGCAAACAGGAUUAGAUACCCUGGUAGUCCACGCCCUAAACGAUGUCAACUAGUUGUUGGGGAUUCAUUUCCUUAGUAACGUAGCUAACGCGUGAAGUUGACCGCCUGGGGAGUACGGUCGCAAGAUUAAAACUUAAAGGAAUUGACGGGGUCAUAGCUGUUUCCU
rnacentral:rRNA from 1 species